rnacentral:rRNA from 1 species
UACGAAGGGGGGCGAGCGUUGUUCGGAUUUACUGGGCGUAAAGGGCGCGUAGGCGCCUGUCAGUCAGGCGUGAAAGCCCCGGGCUCAACCUGGGAACGGCGCUUGGGACGGCGAGGCUGGAGUUCGGGAGAGGAGAGUGGAAUUCCCAGUGUAGAGGUGAAAUUCGUAGAUAUUGGGAAGAACACCGGUGGCGAAGGCGGCUCUCUGGACCGACACUGACGCUGAGGCGCGAAAGCGUGGGGAGCAAACAGGG